rnacentral:rRNA from 1 species
GUAGAACGCACAGGAUGCACCGUAGUUUACUACACCGUAUUCUGUGAGUUGCGAACGGGUGAGUAACGCGUAGGUAACCUGCCUGGUAGCGGGGGAUAACUAUUGGAAACGAUAGCUAAUACCGCAUAAGAACAUUUACUGCAUGGUAGAUGUUUAAAAGGUGCAAAUGCAUCACUACCAGAUGGACCUGCGUUGUAUUAGCUAGUAGGUGAGGUAACGGCUCACCUAGGCGACGAUACAUAGCCGACCUGAGAGGGUGAUCGGCCACACUGGGACUGAGACACGGCCCAGACUCCUACGGGAGGCAGCAGUAGGGAAUCUUCGGCAAUGGGGGGAACCCUGACCGAGCAACGCCGCGUGAGUGAAGAAGGUUUUCGGAUCGUAAAGCUCUGUUGUUAAGGAAGAACGAGUGUGAGAAUGGAAAGUUCAUACUGUGACGGUACUUAACCAGAAAGGGACGGCUAACUACGUGCCAGCAGCCGCGGUAAUACGUAGGUCCCGAGCGUUGUCCGGAUUUAUUGGGCGUAAAGCGAGCGCAGGCGGUUAGAUAAGUCUGAAGUUAAAGGCAGUGGCUCAACCAUUGUAGGCUUUGGAAACUGUUUAACUUGAGUGCAGAAGGGGAGAGUGGAAUUCCAUGUGUAGCGGUGAAAUGCGUAGAUAUAUGGAGGAACACCGGUGGCGAAAGCGGCUCUCUGGUCUGUAACUGACGCUGAGGCUCGAAAGCGUGGGGAGCGAACAGGAUUAGAUACCCUGGUAGUCCACGCCGUAAACGAUGAGUGCUAGGUGUUAGGUCCUUUCCGGGACUUAGUGCCGCAGCUAACGCAUUAAGCACUCCGCCUGGGGAGU